UCCCCGGAGGACUAGUGGUUAGGCCACGGUGCUCUCACCACUGCAGCCCGGGUUCGAUUCCUGGCUAGGGAA
rnacentral:tRNA from 1 species